GACGAACGCUGGCGGCGUGCUUAACACAUGCAAGUCGAACGGAAAGGCCCUGCUAUUGUGGGGUGCUCGAGUGGCGAACGGGUGAGUAACAAGUGAGUAACCUGCCCUUGACUUUGGGAUAACUUCAGGAAACUGGGGCUAAUACCGGAUAGGAGCUCCUGCUGCAUGGUGGGGGUUGGAAAGUUUCGGCGGUUGGGGAUGGACUCGCGGCUUAUCAGCUUGUUGGUGGGGUAGUGGCUUACCAAGGCUUUGACGGGUAGCCGGCCUGAGAGGGUGACCGGCCACAUUGGGACUGAGAUACGGCCCAGACUCCUACGGGAGGCAGCAGUGGGGAAUAGUGCACAAUGGGCGGAAGCCUGAUGCAGCAACGCCGCGUGCGGGAUGACGGCCUUCGGGUUGUAAACCGCUUUCGCCUGUGACGAAGCGUGAGUGACGGUAAUGGGUAAAGAAGCACCGGCUAACUACGUG
rnacentral:rRNA from 1 species